rnacentral:rRNA from 1 species
CCUACGGGAGGCAGCAGUGAGGAAUAUUGGUCAAUGGGCGCGAGCCUGAACCAGCCAAGUCGCGUGAGGGAAGACGGUCCUAUGGAUUGUAAACCUCUUUUGUCGGGGAGCAAAAGACGCCACGCGUGGCGUUCCGAGAGUACCCGAAGAAAAAGCAUCGGCUAACUCCGUGCCAGCAGCCGCGGUAAUACGGAGGAUGCGAGCGUUAACCGGAGUUAUUGGGGUUAAAGGGUGCGUAGGCGGAAGAUCAAGUCAGCGUUAAAAUGGAGAGGCUCAACCUCUUCGAGACGUUGAAACUGGUUUUGUUGAGUGAGCGAGAAGUAUGCGGAAUGCGUGGUGUAGCGGUGAAAUGCUUAGAUAUCACGAAGAACCCCGAUUGCGAAGGCAGCUUACUAAACUGUGACUGACAUUGAUGCUCGAAAGUGUGGGUAUCAAACAGGAUGAGAUACCCCUGUAGUC